UGGGGAAUAUUGCACAAUGGGGGAAACCUUGAUGCAGCAACGCCGCGUGAGUGAAGGAGGCCUUCGGGUUGUAAAGCUCUGUUAUACGGGAAGAUAAUGACUGUACCGUAUGAGGAAGCCACGGCUAACUACGUG
rnacentral:rRNA from 1 species